UUUCCGUGGGUGAACCUGCGGAAGGAUCAUUAUUGUAUAACCAAAGUCCGAAGACUAUCGCUGACCCAACAGUUCAUACACGCCCGAGUGCCCUCACACACAUCCAUCUCACCCCUAUGUGCACCACCGCGUCGCUCCACCUUUUGCUUGUUCGGAGGUGGGCUUACUUUUUACUACAAACUUUUAAGUCAAUGUAUACUGUAUUUGUUGUUUUUGCGAUCACGCAAUUAAUAAAACUUUCAACAACGGAUCGCAUAGCUCUGGCAUCUAUUAAGAACC
rnacentral:misc_RNA from 1 species